AUUGAACGCUGGCGGCAUGCCUAACACAUGCAAGUCGAACGGCAGCACGGGUGCUUGUGGCUGGUGGGGGGUGGCGGACGGGGGAGUAAUACAUAGGAACCUGACCUGUCGUGGGGGAUGGCGCGACGACAGGCGGAUUUAUACCGAAUACGAAUUACGCAUGAAAGCGAGGGCCCGUGUUGGCUCGACCUGUAGGGAUGGCAGAUAGCUGAUUAGGUAGUUGGUGGGGUCAAGGCCUACCAAGGCGACGACCAGUAGCUGGUCUGAGAGGGUGACCAGCCACACUGGCACUGAGACACGGCCCAGACUCCGACGGGAGGCAGCAGUGGGGAAUUUUGGACAAGGGGCGAAAGCCUGAUCCAGCAAUACCGCGUGUGUGAAGAAGGCCUUCGGGUUGUAAAGCACUUUUGUCCGGAAAGAAAUCCAGCGCUUUAAUACAGGAGGGGGAUGACGGUACCGGAAGAAUAAGCACCGGCUAACUACGUG
rnacentral:rRNA from 1 species